UUUCAGUCACUUAUCAUCAGAUACUCUAUUGUGUGACUUCAGUCACUUCCUCCAUUCAUUUCCGUGAUACACUCAUAUUCUACCUUCAUUCACUUCAUGUGAUAUACCAGUUACCUUUGAGCCAAAUACAUUGUACCUUUGUGAACCAAGAGCUGUUUUGUUUGUCUUGUCAGACCUUGUAGCUUAGACAAACAUCUCCUUACUUACUUUGCAGCCGCAUUCAGGCAACCCUUUCUUUUCGGUUAUUCCAACA
rnacentral:lncRNA from 1 species